GAUGAACGCUGGCGGCGUGCCUAAUACAUGCAAGUCGAGCGAACGGGCGAGAAGCUUGCUUCUCUGAUGUUAGCGGCGGACGGGUGAGUAACACGUGGAUAACCUACCUAUAAGACUGGGAUAACUUCGGGAAACCGGAGCUAAUACCGGAUGAUAUUUUGUACCGCAUGGUUCAAAAGUGAAAGACGGUCUUGCUGUCACUUAUAGAUGGAUCCGCGCUGCAUUAGCUAGUUGGUAAGGUAACGGCUUACCAAGGCAACGAUGCAUAGCCGACCUGAGAGGGUGAUCGGCCACACUGGAACUGAGACACGGUCCAGACUCCUACGGGAGGCAGCAGUAGGGAAUCUUCCGCAAUGGGCGAAAGCCUGACGGAGCAACGCCGCGUGAGUGAUGAAGGUCUUCGGAUCGUAAAACUCUGUUAUUAGGGAAGAACAUAUGUGUAAGUAACUGUGCACAUCUUGACGGUACCUAAUCAGAAAGCCACGGCUAACUACGUG
rnacentral:rRNA from 1 species